rnacentral:lncRNA from 1 species
GAGACAAUCUGUAUUCUGUAAUUCAUGAAUCAUCUUUUGAGACCAAAAACAAAGACCCUGACAAAAGACUUAUAAGGCGCGCCAAAGCAGCCCUCAACCAAAUAGCAUUACACCCCCGCUGUCUGUCCAAAUGGAAUCCAUCGAAUAUCCAGCUAAAUUCCAUGACGAGCAAACUAAAAAAGAAAAGAUAAAGCAAGCUUGUCUCGAGCUU